UUCUCGCCGUUUCUGCCACUUGAGACCCCGCUGCCGUCGCCGGAAAACGCCUCUGCCGCCGUCGAGAUCCAAUGCCGGUAAGGGUUUUAUUUGGGGUUUCUGUUCUUUUUGAAUUCCGAGGUUACUAUGGUCACUGCCUGUUGGUUUCAGUCAUCGUGAUUGGAAUUUGUCGCCGCUGCCGCUUGAGGUGGUUGCCGGGCUGCCGCCAAGCCGGUUCGGAGACCGCCGCUGUGUUGGUUCAGCCGUUCCUUCUUCGGUUCGAGUUGUUGAGACUGUUGCGAUAGUGGCUUGGAACCGAGGUUUUGGCUGCCGGAAUUUCGAUUGUUGAUCUCGGGCUGAGACGGAAAGGAUUCUGUGACGCGUUUGGAUUAUGGAUUUGCGUUUUGAGGAUAUGGGCGCAGAAGUUACGAAGAGCUUAUUUAAUUGUUGUUGUGAUGCUCUGUAU